rnacentral:rRNA from 1 species
CUACGGGGCGCAGCAGUGAGGAAUAUUGCACAAUGGGGGGAACCCUGAUGCAGCAACGCCGCGUGGAGGAUGACGCAUUUCGGUGUGUAAACUCCUUUUAUAUGUCAAGAAAAUGACGGUAGCAUAUGAAUAAGCACCGGCUAACUCCGUGCCAGCAGCCGCGGUAAUACGGAGGGGGCAAGCGUUACUCGGAAUCACUGGGCGUAAAGGACGCGUAGGCGGGUUGGAAAGUCAGGUGUGAAAUCCUACAGCUUAACUGUAGAACUGCACUUGAAACUUCUAAUCUAGAGUAUGGGAGGGGGAGGUGGAAUUAGUGGUGUAGGGGUAAAAUCCGUAGAUAUCACUAGGAAUACCUAAAGCGAAGGCGAUCUCCUGGAACAUUACUGACGCUAAGGCGUGAAAGCGUGGGGAGCAAACAGGAUUAGAUACCCGGGUAGUC